rnacentral:rRNA from 1 species
GUUCCUUGGAAAAGGACAGCUGAGAGGGUGACACUCCCGUCCGCCUGGUAGAGUGAGUCUUUGUCAACGAGUCGAGUUGUUUGGGAUUGCAGCUCUAAUUUGGUGGUAAAUUCCAUCUAAAGCUAAAUAUUGGUGGGAGACCGAUAGCGUACAAGUACCGUGAGGGAAAGAUGCAAAGAACUUUGAAAAGAGAGUUAAAGAGUACCUGAAAUUGCUGAAACGGAAGCGAAGGAAACCAGUGUUUGUUGGUUCAUAUUUCCCUUGUCACUUGUGAUGUGGGCGCUGUGAGCUUGCGUGGGUUUGCUUUGGUUGAUCCCUUUGGAAGAGCGCAGUCAGAGUUGAUGUCU